rnacentral:rRNA from 1 species
UACGUAGGGUGCAAGCGUUGUCCGGAAUUAUUGGGCGUAAAGAGCUCGUAGGCGGUUCGUCGCGUCGGCUGUGAAAACCUGAGGCUCAACCUCAGGCCUGCAGUCGAUACGGGCGGACUUGAGUACUGCAGGGGAGACUGGAAUUCCUGGUGUAGCGGUGAAAUGCGCAGAUAUCGGGAAGAACACCCGUGGCGAAGGCGGCUCUCUGGGACGGUACUGACGCUGAGGCACGAAAGCGUGGGGAGCAAACAGG